rnacentral:rRNA from 4 species
UUGGACCUGAUAUCAGGCAAGAUUACCCGCUGAAC